rnacentral:lncRNA from 1 species
GGGCCAAUUUUAAUGUUUAUGUAUUUCAUUAUUUACAGGAGUGCUAGGUGAACCUAUUUAGCAACCUUGUAUCCAAAGGGAUUGGUGACGGAAUGGAUGGUUUUCAUGAUCCUCUUGACUGCUGUUCAAGAUUUUCUAGUGCACCAUUUUCAUGCAAGAAUAAGAUUCAUCAAUCAGAAGAUGAUGAUAUGGUUCUUCAUC